rnacentral:rRNA from 1 species
AUGGUUAUAGGGGAUUUUAAUGAAAUUCUAUACUCGUCAGAGAAGGACGGUGCCUCCCCCCCGCCAAUAACCCGGUUGCAGGCGUUCCAAGAUGCCUUGUCUGAUUGUAUGUUAGAGGAUAUCAGAUAUAAUGGGGAUAAAUUCACUUGGUUUCAUGGUGGGUUACGAUAGAGACUAGAUCGAGCGGUCACAAACGCUGCUUGGCUAUUGCUACACCCGUUCGCUAGUCUCAGUAACCUUGACAUGGGCAAAUCAUACCAGCGGCCCAUACUAAUGGACACCGAGUACCUGGCCGGGGUGGCGGACAGUAAUCCAAGAAGAGAUAAGAAGUUUGAAAUGAGGUGGUUGUCAGAAGAAUCUGUGAAUGAAAUUGUAAACACAGCAUGGCAAAAGGCUGUACGCCGUGGCUUGUGCCCUACUGUCAUGGAGAAAAUCAAUUCAGUACAUAGGGACCUGCAUGACUAG